rnacentral:rRNA from 1 species
UACGUAGGUGGCAAGCGUUGUCCGGAUUUACUGGGCGUAAAGGAUGCGUAGGCGGCCAUUUAAGUCAGAUGUGAAAUACCCGAGCUUAACUUGGGUGCUGCAUUUGAAACUGGGUGUCUAGAGUGCAGGAGAGGUAAGUGGAAUUCCUGGUGUAGCGGUGAAAUGCGCAGAUAUCAGGAAGAACACCAAUGGCGAAGGCAGCUCUCUGGGACGGUACUGACGCUGAGACGCGAAAGCGUGGGGAGCGAACAGG